CAGAGUUCGUGCCCUCGCGGGUAGAUCUCCCACCCUUUGUGUAUUUUCAUGCCUUUGUUGCUUUGGCAGGCCGCUGGGCUUCGGCCUGGCCACCGGCUCCCCGGGGCUGGUGCGCGCCUGCCAGAGGAUCUCCAAAACUCGGUUUGUCAGUGUCGUCUGAGUACCAUACAAUCGUUA
rnacentral:misc_RNA from 1 species